rnacentral:piRNA from 1 species
UGAUGACAGGUAGUCUUGGUUUCUGUUGA